rnacentral:other from 1 species
UUGUCCCUGCCGUGCGCGUGACUUGGCCAUACAUUCCUUGAACCAAUGUCUUUUGGCAUAGGUUGCUGGAUUGACAAGUAGGAGCGAUUGCCACUCCGUGUGGCGAACCCGAAGCUUGACUGAAGGCGACCACCUUGAACCUCAGGUUCCAGGAUGCCGGCCUAGACGGCAUACGCGGGGCAAUU